AGAGAUUUUCACAUGUACUUAAAAGAGACAUUUCUCAAAAGAGAGAACUGAAUUGUAAUUCUGUAUUUCUGAGAAGAGUUUGCCUGUGGUUUCAGCAGCUGCAGCAUCUGUAACUCCCGAAUCUGCAGUGUUCAUGGAGUCCAAAUAUCUGCUCAAAACUUUCAUAGGCUUGUGUUGGUUAUACCAGUGAAGUGGGCAGCACUGAUCGUUCACUCCAGUCAUCUCUUGGUUGAAGUUCUACAUCCAGUCUCCAAGCCCACAUUUCUGUGAAGUGGAAAAUUGUACAUAGUCCAAAGAAGGAGAGCAAAAAUGACAGCAGUCUUGAAAAACAUGACCUUUGAAGGAAGGUGUAAGGGGCAGAAUUUGUUUAGUCUAGAGGAGCAGAGCCUACUGGUGACAUGGUAACACCUCU
rnacentral:lncRNA from 1 species